GGCUCAGGACGAACGCUGGCGGCGUGCCUAAUACAUGCAAGUCGAGCGGACAGAUGGGAGCUUGCUCCCUGAAGUCAGCGGCGGACGGGUGAGUAACACGUGGGCAACCUGCCUGUAAGACUGGGAUAACUCCGGGAAACCGGGGCUAAUACCGGAUAAUUCUUUYCCUCACAUGARGGAAAGCUGAAAGAUGGUUUCGGCUAUCACUUACAGAUGGGCCCGCGGCGCAUUAGCUAGUUGGUGAGGUAACGGCUCACCAAGGCAACGAUGCGUAGCCGACCUGAGAGGGUGAUCGGCCACACUGGGACUGAGACACGGCCCAGACUCCUACGGGAGGCAGCAGUAGGGAAUCUUCCGCAAUGGACGAAAGUCUGACGGAGCAACGCCGCGUGAGUGAUGAAGGUUUUCGGAUCGUAAAACUCUGUUGUUAGGGAAGAACAAGUACCGGAGUAACUGCCGGUACCUGACGGUACCUAACCAGA
rnacentral:rRNA from 1 species